rnacentral:lncRNA from 1 species
CUGUUUUUAAGGUAGACUUUACCUAUUUCAUAAUUUCCAUGAUUCAACUAGCCCUUUAACAUACAUAGCACAAAAAUAUGAUCGUGAUUAACCAUUCCAAUGGCUAAUCAUUGCCAAGCAUUUCUACACCUCUCAAUAACCAUAUAUAUACAAAAUGAUUAUAACGCUAUGCUCAAAAUAUAUAAGCCAUUUUCGCAUGGCUAUCCAAAUAUAUACAAUACCAAAGUACUUGACUAACAACAAAAGGGCAGCCCUAUACAUGCCAUUAUCAGAGUUCAACUAAAAGAGUACCAAAAGGGCUUUGAUAGUGUGGGCGACUUCGACUUUGACACUCCCGAGUCCGAUAGCUGACGAACCAAAAUCUAUAAAACAGAGAAUCAAAGAAACGGAAUAAGCAUUUAAUGCUUAGUAAGUUUUGAGCAAUGAAAUUAGGCACAACUGAAGUAUAGCAUUCAUAUGACUAAACGGAUAAUUUCAUAUACACAUAUUCUCAAAUCAUACCUACUUCACAUUUCCAACCCUUAUAUUCAUACAUAAGGGAUCAACUUAACCAAAGGCCGGAAGCUUAUUAAUCGACUGAGCGAAUACUAUUUAAAAGGAAUCAACUAUUCCAAUGCAUAUACGAAACAUACCUCAUCGUUGGGAUUUUACGAGAGUAUUAAUUGAAAUUAUUACAGCAAAAUCGCUCAUUCCCAAACCAAGUACCUUCGGGAUUUAGCCGGAUAUAGCUUCUCGCUCAACUGCCUUCGGGACUUAGCCCGGAUAUAGUAACUGGCACAAAUACCUUCGGGACUUAGCCUGGAUAUAGUAACUCGCACAAAUGCCUUCGGGACUUAGCCCGGAUAUAGUAACUCACACAAAUGCCUUCGGGACUUAUCCCGGUUAUCAUCCGAAUAUUCAUGCACAUAUAUCAAUAAAUCAUAUCACAUCUAUAUUUCAUUUUCAUCACUAGAACUCAAACACAAGACACUUAUCAAUCAUUCCCAUUUUCGGCUCAAUAGCCACAUACAAAGAGCAUAAAUUGAUUUGCUUUAUGACAUGAUCUCUGUGCACAUUCGGCUACCCGUCAUAGGUAUAAACUAAUUAUCUCGACAUAUAAUUCAAGUAAAAUCAUUAUAUCAUUGUUUAUUUGUUAUGCUUAUACGUCAUAACUUAAUCAAAUCAUAAACUAAGUUCCAUUACUCAAAGACUUACCUCGGAUGUUGUCGAACGAUUUCGACGGCUAUUCGAUCACUUUUUCCUUCCCCUUAUCCAACUUUGAUCCUCUAGGCUCUUGAGCUAAAUCAAACAAUUUACUUCCCAAAUCAAACAUAGUCAUACGACAUCCAUAUACAUUUUAUACUAGCCGAAAUGUACCAUCAAGAUAUACUUUUACUCAAAUAAUUUACUUUGGCCGAACAUGUAUAAUGUUUUGUAGCUUAAUAAAUUUAACAUACACCAUGUAUUUAUAAUAUUUUUGCAGCCAACUAUCCAUAGUCAUGCACAUACACAAUCAAAAAUAAAUACCCAAAAUUUUCAUAUCCUUAUGCCCUAAGCCGAAUACACUUGUCAUGUUCACCUACAUUUUUUUUCAAGUACAACAUUCUCAUAUUCGGCAUUAGUAUCAAGCAUAAUAGCCAAUUCUUCCCACUUUGAAUCUAUGCAUCCAUUUAAUCAUAGUUUGUUCAAGCACUCAUACAACAAGACACAUCCAUAUGACUAAAAAUUCUAAGUUUAAACACAAUACAACAUUUUAGCACCAUGGCCGAAUACUUUAUGAAGUUGUUAAGACCCAUCCUUUUCAAAUUCUCACACACACUCACAUUCAAUCCUUUUUAUUAAGCACUCAAAUUCAAUCAUCUUCAUGCCUCAUCACCAUAACAUCAAACACCAACCAAGAAGACAACACCCAUGGCCGAGUAUCAUCUCCAUCACAUAGCAAAGAUUUAAACCAUGGGCUAGGUAGAACUCAAGCUAACAACUAAAAAUAUGCAUGAAUCUCAUGGAACAACAUCAAACAUACCUUAACGUAGUUACAAGCAUGGCCGAACCUCUUCAACCUUUCUUCCUUUCUUUCCUUUGAUUUUUCAGUGAAGAAGAACAAAACGAGAACUUUUUUUUUCUUUUAUCACCCCCUAAUUUCCAUUAUUUUAUUACUAACCCUUUUUUAUUUUAUUAUUUCUAACAUAAAGCAUUAACACAACAUGUUUAUAAUAGGUUUUAACCCAUAGCAUGGCCGACCACUAGUUCAAAUUUUGGGUAAUUUGACAUGCAAACCCAUCAUCUUUAUAACAUGCAUUAAUAGGCCACUUACAUUUGCCUGGCACAUUUCUAAAUUUUCUCACAUAAGUCCUAUUAACUAAAUUCACAUGCAAUCAACUAAAUCGAAGCUUAAAAGUUUCACACAUUCAUAUUCACAUAUUCUAGACAAUAAAUAUCACAUUCAAAUACUUCGGUGACUCGGUUUAGCGGUCCCGAAACCACUUCCCGACUAGGGUCAAUUUAGGGCUGUCACAUUCUAUGUUUUCUAGAUAGCUUUACUUAUCCAUUCAUUUAAUUAAAUUAAUUCAUGCUCAUGACAUCAUAUAAGGCCAAACAAACAUAGAUAUUUGCAUCACAAUCACAACUUUCAUUUCGUGCAUCAUCAUGUACAAAUCAUUACAAUCAUAUAAUUCAGUCCAACAAUUUAACAUAGAUAAGUUCAUUUCAUUAUAAUCAUUUAUCUCAUAAAAAAUUGUAUAUCAUUAACAUUUAUCAACAUUCAAAGUCCAAUCAAGACAAGGAUAUUUUCAUUCGUAUCAUGAUAUUAUGACCUUUAUUCAUACCUCUAAUACUUUCUAUUUAUUCUGUUCAUCUUAUCAAGUAAGCCACAUACACUACAUCGUAUGAGCAUUACGCAAAUAUGGAUAUUUAUCACAACAUGAACUUUCAUCUCACAUAUUAUCACAUAUGUAUCAUAAACUUUUAUUCAUACUUUUCUGAACCGAGACUUAUCAUAAUCAUAACUUUACUCAAAUACCUUCGCAUAACAUUGAACAUGGUCAGCGCAGCUCGGUUGGAGAGUACCCUGUCUAAAUAAGACGGUACUCAUACGCGUCGGAAGACAUCACACUAUCACAGAUCAGUGGCAUGUAUAGCUAAACUUUUACACAUGCUAGGUUAGUCCGAGAACCGACUAAACCUGCUCUGAUACCACUAAAUGUAACGCCCCCACGCCCAAAACCGUCGCCGGAGUCUAGCUUGAGGAGUUACCGAACAUAAUUUAUCAAAUUAAGAACUUCAAAUCUUUUGUUUCUACAUUCACAGCUUUCUAGCUACUCGCAUCACAGUUACAAGAAAAAUCAUAUCUCGGGUUUCGAAACUCGAAAUCCAAUUCCGUAAAUUUUUCCUGAAACUAGACUCAUAUAUAUAUCUAAUAAUUUUUUUCUUGAAUUUUUGGUCGGGCCAAUUAGUACAGUUUAUUAGUUAAAGUCUCCCCUAUUUCAGGGUUCGACUACUCUGACCUCUAUGUAUUACGAAUCAGAUAUCUCCCUCUACAGAGCUUCAAUGACUAUUCCGUUUGUAUAUAAUAAAACUAGACUCAAUAAAGAAUCUUUAAAUAUAAAGAAUGAAUUCUAAUUAUCUUUUUAAAAUUUAUGGUGAAUUUCCAAAGUCAGAACAGGGAAUCCAGAAAUCGCUCUGGCCCUAUUUCACAAAAAUUUAAACAUCUCAUAAAAUAUAGCUCAUAUACCUGUUUCGCUUCUUCCAUAUGAAAAUAGACUCAUCAAGCUUCGAUUCCAUAACUUAUUCAUUAUUUAAUUCCAUUUCUAAUAUUUUUAGUGAUUUUUCAAAUUCAUGUCACUACUACUGUGAAUCUAUUUUAUGGUAAAUUUUACCUAUUUCAUUGUUUCCAUGGAUUAGCUAGCAAUUUGACAUACAUAACACCAAAUAUGAUCAUGAUUAGCCAUUCCAAUGACUAAUCAUUACAAAGCAUUUCCAUACCACUCAAUAACCAUAUCAUAAGACCAUAUAUACAAAAUGAUUAUAAUGCUAUACAUGCCAUACUCAAAAUAUGCAAACCAUUAUGCCAAGAUGGUAUACGGAUAUAGUGUGAGCAUGCCUCCGACCGUUCCCGAUUUCCGAGUUGGCUUGUCAACACUACAAGGAAUGAAAAGGAGGAAGCAAGCAUAAAUGCUUAGUAAGCUCACAUGCAAAUAGGAAGUAACACAACUAUGUAAGCAAACAUAAAACAUCAUUUGCAUAAUCAUCACCGAGGCAUUCAUAUCACAUUUUCAUUUAUCAUCUUACCAUAUUGUUGUUAUAUCGAGUUUUCAACUCGAGGGUUAAGUACAUACCUGUUCAAAGUAUCCAUUUCACAACACUUACCAAUACGUCCCUUUCAUCUUGAGUAUUCCUCCAUUUGAGUAGAACUUUACCCGUUGAACACAUCAGAAUAUAAUUCGGAUACAUGGAAAGUUUGCACAUAAGUGCCACAUAUGUAGCCAAGCUACUAUGUAACCCGCCCAUAAGCGAACUCGGACUCAACUCAACGAGCUCAGACGUUCGCAUCCAUGAGUGAACUCGGACUCAACUCAACGAGUUCGGAUGCCUAGUUACAUCUCACGAACUCGGACUCAACUCAACGAGUUCGGACAUUUGCAUCCACAAGUGAACUCGGACUCAACUCAACGAGUUCGGAUGCUCAACCAUCCUAGUGACAUGUCACUUGUAUCCUAAUCCAUUCCUAAGGUUCAACGGGACCUUUUUCCCAAUCAUGUGUCUCAACCAUCUUCUACGGAAUGCCGAUACCGAUACUCGGUAGUAUUUCACAUUUUCCAAGUAUAUCACAUAAUUUGACAUAUUAACAAACAAUUAUCACAGUAUAAUAUUUCAUAAUAAUUAUCAUAUCAUUUAAAUAACAUUAAAAUAUUUAAAAUAAUAACUAUGUUACCAACAUUUACAAAUGAACUUACCUCGUAUGCGAAAAUGGCUACUUUUACCAUUUCGUCCACAACUUGGUAUUUUCCCCAUUUUAGCCUGAAUUUCAAUUUUCCUUGCUCUAUCAUUUAAAAUAUAGUCUAAUUAGGACUCACAUUAUUCAAAUUGACCCAAAAUCAUUUUUGGCAAAAUUACAGUUUUGCCCCUAAACUUUUGCAUAUUUACACUUUUGCCCCCAAAGCUCGUAAAUUAAAAUUCAGCCUAUUUUCUUAUGUUUUAUGACAUUCUAAUCAUUUUUCCCUUCUAUGGUAACAUCAAAUUCUCACUCUAACAUGUACUUAUGACUAUUAGGUAUUUUUACCGAUUAAGCCCUUUUAGCUCGUUUUCACUUAAAACCGAGUAAUACAAGUUGUCUAACAUAAUUUAAAACCUCAUAUUCUAUCAUAAAACACCAAAAUACACAAAUUUCACCUAUGGGUAUUUUUCCAAAUAUAAACCCUAAGUUGAAUUAUUUCUAGCAUAAGCUAAAUCGAGCUACUGGGACUUCAAAAACAUAAAAAUCAUUAAAAACGAGGCUAGAACGGACUUACAAUCGAGCUUGGAAGCUUGAAAAACCCUAGCCAUAGUUUCUCCUUGCUAUAUUCGGCCAUGGGGUUGAAGAUGAGCAAAAUUGGCUUUUAAUUUUGUAUUUUAAUUCAUUUUACCCCUAAAUGACCAAAAUGCCCUUACUACUAAACUUUCCAAAAAUUCCAUCCAUGCCAAAUUUUUGUCCAUAGACUUAGAAAUUGGUAAAAUUUCUAUUUAAGACCUCCUAAUUAAUAUUUCAAAACAAUUUCAUACUAGAAACUUCUUGAAUGCAAGUUUUACAAAUUAUUCGAUUUAGUCCCUAAUUUCAAUUUAAGCACUUUAUGCAUAAAAUUUCUUCACGAAAUUUUCACACAAUCAUGCAAUCAUAUCAUAGACCUUAAAAUAAUCAUAAAAUAAUUAUUUCUAUCUCAGAUUUUGUGGUCACGAAACCACUACUCCGACUAGGCCCAAAAUCAGGAUAUUACAAGAUUUUGCCGAAUUAGGGUGAAACCUAAUAAGGGGAUCCAUAGAUCGAGUUAGUGCAAUCCUAGAGUGUUAAUUAGAGAAAAGUCUCUGUUACUCAAUCUAGGGAUUAGACGUUAUUAGUCUUGAAUAGAGAUAAUAACAUAACUUAGGGAUCUCUAUGGAACAAGUUAAAUGAAUAAAUCAUCCGAUUCGGAGCCAGAAUAACAAGUAUAGUCUAGGUGGAUUUUUCCUUAGGUAUUGCCUUCAUUCAAUCGAUUUUCCCAAAAGCAUUUUCCCAAUUCUAUUCUCUUUGAGUUCUUAGUUUAGAUAAUUAGUUAGUUAAAACAAAAACCUAUUUAUUCUUAGGCUAGAUCAUAAAAAGACAAUCAUUACUAGUACUUUUAGUUCCUUCGGGUUCGAUAAUCUAGUCUUGCUAAAACUAUACUACUGUUCGAUAGGUACACUUUCCUACAUCGCGAUAAUAGUUGGUUUCAAGAACGAGUAAUUAUAAAUAUUUAAAACCUAUUAUGAAAUCAUGCAAUCAAAUACCAGUGCUAGGUCCAGCAACCCUCUCUAAAAUUCGCAACAUAGCUUUGGUCAGUUCAUCGUCCCCAACCACACGAUCGUGUGACCCAGUCUCAGUCAUAGGUGAAGCUGGUACAUCCCUAGCUUCAUCGUUAAGCAUAUGACCUGAUGCCGAAGACCUAGCCCGAGCUCCUCCAUGGCCUCCACUGCGGCCUCUUGUAUCCCUUCCACGAGUACCUCUGGUGCACAUUAUCAAAUUACGCUUUAUCUAUUUUAAUAGUUUUAUAUAUCAGUUUAUAGUUCCAGUGUUUAUUAAUACAUAUUUUAUGCAAAACAAUAUCAGUUGUUUAGAGUUUUGUUUCCGCAGAUCGUAGUUUCACUACAGUUUCAGUUUACCCUAAAUAGAAUAUUUCAGUUUAGAGAGGCCUUAUUACAUAAUUAAACUACUCAUAAUUUAAAAGAUAAAUACAGAAGCGUAUGCUGUUGUGUGGCCAACUUCGAGUCCCUCGCAGCACCGAUCCGCCUAAGGUUACCUACGUAGAUUAACAAAAGAGUGAGUUUACGAAAACUCAAUGUGUAAUCCCAUAUAAGCAAACAAUCAAAGUAAACCCAAUAUGGGCUUAAGCCCUUUUCAGAAUCAGUACCGUAUGCAAUCAAAAAAUCCUACCCAAUCCAGCCUCUACGCACCAUCUCCAUACCAACCCUGCACACCAUGUGUGGAUAAGAUCGACCUACCCAUCCCUACACACCAAGUAGCACUGGUUGUGUCAUUAUAACAGUAUUUGUAGCAGUGCUACCAGUAAUAGGCUUAUAGCCUUUCAGUACGCUUCCUCCAGUAUUAAAUAUCCCACCCCAUGCAAUGCAACAUAAUAUAAUUGUAAAUAUAGUAAAAAAUGGCCUGCUCAAAUAAUCAUACAUCACAUAGGGGUAUAUUAGUCAUUUACCUCAUAAGGGUAUAAUAAUUAUUUCAUCAAAUUGGGGUCUAGGUAUACUUAUCGACCUAACAGUAGGUCCACAGUCAUCUCGGGUGACCCGUGCAACCUUGACAAUCAAAUAGUGAAAACAGGCCCAAAGCCUAUAAUGCGGCCCAUGUGGGCCUAUAUGCCUGUGUCGAGCACGAAACCCAUAAAUGGCCUUAGUCGUGUGGACUACACAGCUUAGACUAAUAAUCACCACAUGUCUGUGUGUUUACCAGUGUAGGGCCCACGAGCUCGUGGGACCCACAUGGCCCAUUUCGGCCCAACAUGGCCCAAAAUGGCCUUAGCCCAUGAAAAUGCUCAUGGUAGCCUAUACGAUCAAAUGCCCACAUUUUAUGCGUUUGGAUUACCACACAAGCGAAUUCACGUUCGUGUAGUGUCAAUAGUCGUGUUUUUUGGCUUUUGCUGGUCUAUAGUUGGGCAGUGUUUACAAACUUGUUUGGAUUCUUGGUAUGAAUGAUCCCGGAAUGAUUCACCCUUCCACUGCUUCAAUCGAUGUAGCCUUACAAAUCUGUAGAUAAACUGAGUUCCAUAUGAUUGGAUGCUGCCAAAACAAUGCGGCAUGAUCACAUGUUAGGAACCUUAAAAUAUUACUAAAUAACACUCUACUUACACACUUGCAACAUUACUUUUGUCCUUACCGAAGUACCUAUCAACCAGAAGCAACUCGCAUUGGAUAGAACCAAUUUCUAGGAGGAGGAAAGUCGACAGAAGUGGGAGGAUAGCUAGACCAAAUAUUUGGCCAAGGAACAGAGGAACACUAGCAAGUUUUCCCCCUUUUAAGAGAAAAGCCGAAAGUAGAAGAUGGAAUGGGAAGAAGGUAAUCGGUUAAACAAUGCAAUAGGGACACUCGAUAAAAGCUGAAGGAACUGUGGGAGAGGAGAAAAGAAUGUUUAGCCACUGCCCAAAAGAAGAUGAUAAUGACGGCACAGAAUCAAUUGAGAGGGGAAUUAGUUAGGGUCACAAGAAUGAACACAUUCGGUAGUAUAGUAGAUGAGAAAGAAUAGGCUAACAGUAGAGAAAUGGUCGAAAGAUGAAACAACACCGAAAAGUAAGCAAGAGGAAAAAAUAUUCGAAUGGUCUUUUGCUAUGUUCGGUCCAAAGAAGAGAAUGAGUAGUCAGUCAAACCGAAAAAAUGACGAGAAGAAAACUAACCCUACACACCCUAACACUAACCAGUUUUUAGAGAACAAAAGAAAAAGAGCCAAAAAUUGUUAGAAACCCAAAAAUAAGUACAUUAACUUACCAAAGCUGAAAGCCUAGAGUGCUACAAUUCAAAUUCGGCACAAAUCUUCCACCAAAUUCGAAUCCCUCAAUUUCCUCCUAAAACCCCUCCUGCUCACAAACCUUAACAAUCGAUAAUUCCCCUUUUCACUCCCUAAAUUUGGCCAACAACAACCCCAUUCAAUAUCAUUCAAACUUUUUAGUGUUUCGGUCAAACAUAACUUCCUCCCAUUUCCACCAUUAAAAAUAAUCUCCAUUUGCACAAGCAGUGAUUUGAACCUCAGACCACAAGGACACUCUACAUGCCACUAUCCACUUGACCAGCAGGCCCAUUUUGUUAUGUUUUUACCAAAAUAAACUUAUAACCCUAUUAGUCAAAGAUAGGAGUUUUAUCCUUGAAAACAACAUUUUUGUGGAAGCCAAAACUUGAACCCAUGACUUCCCAGACGCUUCUAAAGCACACAACCACUAAGCCAGACAUAUAUUUAUGUCACUUUCUUGUACAACUAAAUAUUUAUGUGCAGUCUCCUAACUGCACCCACUCAAGACUUAAAACUUCUAGGCCCAAAAUCGGGGCGUUACAAUUCACCCCUCCUAAAAGAAAUUACAUCCUCGAAAUUUCCAACUAUCAGAUCAGUCGCAUAACACAGAUUACACCACUAGCUCCUGCUGCGCACUUUAAUUCCAAAACACUACCACAUUCAACCUGAGUGAUAGCACAAUCCAAAUCCACUUGUUGCUUAACCAACCGGUCCAUACCCAGUAUUAGGUUAACUUCUCCAAAAGGGAGUUUCAUCAAAUCCGCCAAGAAGAUAACUCCUUGGUCCGCCAAAGGUAAAUCUGCUACUAGUGGACUUAGUAACCUCACUCACGGUGCUUUCAACCAUUAACUUGGAGAUCUCAGGUACAAUACGUGUUAUAUAUAGGAAUGCAUAGAUCCAAUAUCAAUCAGUGCAGCAUAAGGUACAUUAUGGACAAAGAAUGUACCCGUAUUAACAUUUGGGGCGUCUCCGUCCUCUUGGUAACGUGCAGCAUAAACCAGUGCUGGCUGCCUUGCCUCAGUAUAACCAGGACAUUUGCCUUCCGUUCCACGACCACGGCCUAUACCUUUUCCACCCCUGGCCUGACCAUGGCCUCUCAGUGUCUGCUGAACACCUCUCGGUGGUUGAACAAUAUCCAUUCCAAUAGCCUGCAUCUGAUCGGGCCUCCGUGGACAAUCUCUGAUACGGUGCUCAAAAGAUCCACACCUAAAACAUGCUCCAAUCCUUCGCCAGUACUCGCCUUGAUGGUGCCUCCCACAAUCAACACAAGGCUGCAGUCCAGUAACAGCAACAGGGGCCUUAACUCUGACCAGCCCAUCAACUCUAGGCCCGGGGCAUUACUGUAAUAUUCUAAUUUUGGGCCUAGUCGAAAUAGUGGUUUCGUGACCACAAAAUCCGAGAUAUAAAUAAUUAUUUUAUGAUUAUUUUGAGGUCUAUGAUAUGAUUGCAUGAUUGUGUGAAAAUUUCGUGAAGAAAUUUUAUGCAUAAAGUGCUUAAAUUGAAAUUAGGGACUAAUCGAAUAUUUUGUAAAACUUGCAUUCUAGAAGUUUCUAGUAUCAAAUUGUUUUGAAAUAUUAAUUAGGAGGUCUUAAAUAGCAAUUUUACCAAUUUCUAAGUCUAUGGACAAAAAUUGGACAUGGAUGGAAUUUUUGGAAAGUUUAGUAGUAAGGGCAUUUUGGUCAUUUAGCAGUAAAAUGAAUUAAAAUACAAAAUUAAAAGCCAAUUUUGCUCAUCUUCAACCCCAUGGCUGAAUAUAGAAAGGAGAAACCAUGGCUAGGGUUUUUCAAGCUUCGAAGCUCAAUUGUAAGUCCAUUCUAGCCCCGUUUUUCAAGUUCUUUACGUUUUUGGAGUCCCGGUAGCUCGAUUAAGCUUAUGCUAGCAAUAAUUUAACCUAGGGUUUAUAUUUCGAAAAAUACCCAUAGGUGAAAUUUGUGUAUUUUUAUGUUUUAUGAUAGAAUAUGAGGUUUUAAAUUAUGUUAGACAACUUGUGCUAUUCGGUUUUAAGCGAAAACUAGCAAAAGGGCUUAAUCGGUAAAAAUACCUAAUAGUCAUAAGUACAUGUUAGAGUGAGAAUUUGAUAUUGCCAUAGAAGGGAAAAAUGAUCAGCAUGUCAUAAAACAUAAGAAAAUAUGCUGAAGUUUAAUUUACGAGCUUUGGGGCAAAAGUGUAAAUAUGCAAAAGUUUAGGGGAAAAUUGUAAUUUUUCCAAAAUAUGAUUUUGGGUCAAUUUGAAUAAUUUGAGUCCUAAUUAGACUAUAUUUUAAAUGAUAGAGCAAGGAAAACUAAAAUUCGGGCUAAAAUGGGGAAAAUACCAAGUUGUGGACGAAAUGGUAAAAGUAGCCAUUUUCGCAUACGAGGUAAGUUCAUGUGUAAAUAAUGUAGCAUAAUUGUUAUUUUUAAGUUAUUGAUGUUAAUUAUAUGAUAUGUUGAUUUUUUUAUCAUGAAAUAUUAUGCUUUGUGGUUAAUGUUGAGUAAUAUGCAAAUUAUGUUUACUACUUGAUAAAUAUGAAUUGCUACCGAGUAUCGGUUCCGAUAUUCCAUGGAAGACGACAAAUGUGAGAUCGAGGGAAAAAUCCCGUUUGAACCUUAGGAAUAGAUUAGGAUACAAGUGACAUGUCACUAGGAUGGUUGAGCAUCCGAACUCGUUGAGUUGAGUCCGAGUUCACUUAUGGAUCCGAAUGUCCGAACUCAUUGAGUUGAGUCCGAGUUCGAGAGACGUAACUAGGCAUCUGAGCUCGUUGAGUUGAGUCCGAGUUCACUUAUGGAUGCGAAUGCCCGAGCUCGUUGAGUUGAGUCCGAGUUCACUUAUGGGCGGGUUACAUGGUAGCUUGGCUACAUAUGUGGCACUUAUGUGCAAACUUUCCAUGUAUCCGAAUUAUAUUCCGAUGUGUUCAACGGGUAAAGUUCUACUCAAAUGGAGGAAUACUCAAGAUGAAAGGGAAGUAUUGGUAAGUGUUGUGAAAUGGAUACUUUGAACAAGUAUGUACUUAACCCUCGGGUUGAAAACUCGAUAUAACAACAAUAUGGUAAGAUGAUAAAUGAAAAUGUGAUAUGAAUGUCUUGGUGAUGAUUAUGCAAAUGAUGUUUUAUGUUUGCUUAUAUGGUUAUGUUACUUGCUAUUUGCAUGUGAACUUCCUAAGCAUUUAUGCUUACUCCCUCCUUUUCAUUCCUUGUAGUGUUGACAAGCCAGCUCGGAAAUCAGAAACGGUCGGAGGCACGCUCACACUAUCCGUAUACCAUCUUGGCAUAAUGGCUUGUAUAUUUUGAGUAUGGCAUGUAUAGCAUUAUAAUCAUUUUGUGUAUAUGGUCUUAUGAUAUGGUUAUUGAGUGGUAUGGAAAUGCUUUGUAAUGAUUAGCCAUAGGAAUGGCUAAUCAUGAUCAUAUUUGGUGUUAUGUAUGCUAAAUUGCUAGCUAAUCCAUGGAAACCAUGAAAUAGGUAAAAUUUACCAUAAAAUAGAUUCAGACAGCAGCAGUGACGUGAGUUUGAAAAAUCACUAAAAAUAGUAGAGAUACAAUUAGAUGAUGAAUAAUAUAUGGAAUUGAAGAAUUAUGAGUCUAUUUUCAUAUGGAUGGAACAAAACAGGUAUAUGAGUUAUAUUUUAUGAGAUGAUUUAAUUUUUGUAAAACAGGGGCAGUGCGAUUUCUGGAUCCCCUGUUAUGACUUUGGAAAUUCACCAUAAAUUUUUCAAAGAUAAUUAGAAGUCAUGAUUUAUAUGUACAGAUUCCUUAUUUAGUCUAGUUUUAUUAGAAAGAAACGGCAUAGUCAUUGAAACUUUGUACAAGGAGAUAUCUGAUUCGUAAUACACAGAGGUCAGAGCAGUCAAACUCUGAAACAGGGGAGACUUUAACUAAUAAACUGUACUAAUUUGCUUGACAAAAAAUUCUAUAAAAAAAUUAGUAAAUAGAUAUAUGAGUCUAGUCUCAGGGAAAAUUUACGGAAUUGGAUUUCGAGUUUUGUAACUCGAUAUAUGAAUUUUUAAGCUACUAUGACACAGAUUGUUAGCUUGACUGAAAAUUUUAAAAAUAAAUUGUUUGAGCUGUUUAAGUAAUGAAUUAAUUCUGUUAACACGUCGUGUUCGACUUCGGCGACAGUCUCGGGUACGGGGCAUUACAAUUACAUUUUUAUUCGUUAAAUUGUAUGUUUUAAAUAAAAGCCAAAACUUGGGUCAUUAAUGGUGAAAUUCAAGAUUUUGUACAAAAAUGAUGUUUCAAGGUGUUUUUCAAUUAUUUUUAACAUGAUUAAGAGGUUUCUAAACUUACUUUGAAAUUUCGUUAAAUAUUUCUUGAGUUUUAAUAAAUUUUUGAAAAAUAGCCAUAAAACAUGUUGAAAAAGUCAAUAUCAUGAAUUGAGUAGAUUUGUGUAGUUUAAAGGUUUAGAAUUAGUUAUGGAUGAAUAAUAAGAUGAAAAACAAAUUGGUUUUAGGCAAAAAGAUUGAGUAUAGACCGAGAUAUUCGGAUUUAAAGUUUGACAUGUUAAAGGUUUCGGUUACAUGAGAACAUAGCUUAGGCUUAUGUUUUUUAUGCUUGUAAUGAGUCAUUGGCUGAUUUUUGGAUGUAUUGUUGUCUGAAUUUGUGGUGUUGAAGUUCUAGAUUCUAUAGAACCUUCUACGAGUAGAGGUAAAGGCAAGAAAAAGCUAGUUUAAGCUUUCAGCUUUUUGGCGAAAGCGUAAUUGGUGAGUGUUUGAAAUAAUUUCUUGUGGACAUGAUUUGAUGCUUUAUUUUGGAAUUUAGUAGUAGCCUAAACCCCUACUUAAAAUUUCGAGUGUAACUUUUCUCAUACCUAUGUAAUCUUAUGAAUAAAGUAUUUAUAUGUUUGUGAAUAUGUGAUUUGAGAUGAGAUGCUAUAACAUUAGAUAUGUGGUUAUGAUAACCGUUGUGAAAGUGAAAAUGUGUACAUGUUAUGUAUAUGUUAAAUGUUAGCGACAAUGUUUUGCUAAAGAUAUAAAUAUGCAAUGAUUGUGCACGGAUAAUCGGUAAGUGAUCUGUGUUUCAUUUCGAAUAAUUUGGCCUUAUGAUUAUUGAAACCGUUGGAUAUAGUUGGCAUGCGAUAGGUGUAACGCCCCAAAAUUUAUAUUUUUGAUUCUGUUAAAAUGUGACACAAUUGGGUAUUUUCUUCACUAGUUAUGUGUUCUGGGUGUGUGAGAGAGGUCCCAAGUUCAAGCUCUAGCUUGGGAAAAUUUUGGUAUUUUUCUAAAUUAAGCAUUAAACUUGAUCAGUGGGCUUAUAUUUGAUUAUUUGUAAUUUUAUAUCAGAAUGGGCCUGCUGGUCUGGUGGUUAAGUGGAGUGUUGGAGUGUUGGAGGUCUUGUGUUCGAUUCUCUGUGUUGGUAAGGGAUAGUAUUAUUUUUUUGUCUAGGCUAUAGUUGUACUGUGGUUGGACUCUGAGUAGUGGGGUGUUGGAUGGAGAAAAGUAAAGGGAGUUGGGAUAGGUGGGCUAUUAGAAUUGUUCUGUCAAUUUUCUCUUUUUGAAAAACUCUAUUCUCUUCCCCCCUCUCUUUGGCAAAAUUCCAUCUCCCCCCCCUUUCUUUUUAUUGUGGUUUUACUCAAGUUCACCUCUUUUGUUGUGCUUCGCGUAAUCUUGGUCGUUCAGUAAGUUUGGCUUCUGAUUGAUCUUAAUGGUUUCUUCUAAAUAUUAGUUAAAGAGGGGUUGGCUGGUUUGUAGGUGUUAAUCGAAGGGCUGAUUAUCUUUCAUUGGCGUUCUAAGGGCGUGGAAUUCCCGUUCGUUGCAAGAAGGUAAUGCCUUUUUUCGCUCGAGAGAUGAAUAUCCCAUUUCGAGUUUAGUUUAAUCAGUUUGAUUAAAUGAUAAACUGAGUGAAAUUCAUAAAUUAUAGGUUCUUGAGUGCUCGGGGACAGGUUUAGCAUCAAUUGAAGCCUCGUACAGGAAAUGAGGUUUCAAAGAAAUUCAAAAAGCUCACUGUCGAUGCCACACGGGCAUGUGAUCGCCCAUGUGAUAGGCCGUGUGCCAUAACACGAGUGUGUGAUCAAUGAGGCUAGGCCGUACGCACUAGACACGACCAUGUAAUGGCCAGGUAGGCCGUGUGCGACACACGGGCUUGACCUAUUUGUGCCAUGUGGGCCACACAAGCGUGGGAGCCCACAUAGGUAAGCCACAUUGGCGUUUGGGCCCACACGGGCAGGCAACAUGGGCGUGUGAGCUCAUUUUCAUUGAUUAGUUUCCAAGGUUGCACGGGUCGCCUAAGAUAACUCUGAACCUACUAUAGGGUCGGUCAGCUUACCUAAACCCCUAAUUGAAUGAAAUGACUGUAUGACUGAUUUAUAUGUAUACAUGUUAUCGAACAUGAUGAUGUUUCACCGAACUAAUAUAGUAUGUACUGUUACCAUGUUAUAGCAUGUUUUAACCGUAUAUUGCAUUUCAUUGGGUUGAGGGUUGAUAUUGUUCGGAGGAAGUGUAAUGAAAGGCAUCGAGCCUAAUUUACUGGUAGCUCAACUGCAAAUUUAUUUGUCUAGUGCUGCACACGGUAGUUCUUAGAGUGUAGGGAUGGGUGGGUUGAUUAUAUCCCCACAUGGAGUGUGGGGUUGGAUGUAAAUGGUGUGUAGAGGCUGGCUGGGUAGGAUUUUGUGAUUGCAUAUCUGUUACUGCUACUGAUACGUUGAUGGGCCAAGGCCCAAUUGUAUGACUUAUUCUGUAUUGAGAUGGGCUAAGGCCAAACUAAAAACCGAUAUUGUUACUAAAAGGGCUUAGGCCCAAACUAUGAUCAUGUGCAUACUGUCUGUUUGUUUAUAUGGAAUUACACACUCAGUUUACGUAAACUCGGCCCUUUCAGUUUAAUCUGUACAAGUAAUCCCCAAACUUGAUGGAUCAGUGUAGUAGAGGACUCGAUGGUGGCCACACGACCCCUUUGAUACUAUUUCGUAUGUAUUUAUGAUAUAAAAUUUUAUUUGGGUAUUUUAUUGUAAAUUUGGCCUCUAUAGAUUUUUAAUUUAGUUUGAGAUUUUUAUCGGUUAUGGUUUAUAACUUUAGUAUUAAGAUAACCCAAGUUUUCAAAAGAAACAAACAUUUUAACAAAAUACUCACAAAUACACAAACUGUUUUCAAAACUUCCGCAUUGAAUAAACGUUUUGAAGACUUUUGAUUGAUUAAAUAACACGAUUUUAAAAUUAACAUGUAAUAAUAAAAGGUUUCUAAAUGGAAAUUGUUUUAAGAAAAGUUACAGUUUCCUAACACAUUACCAUGUGACAUCGCCUGAUCCGGCCAUAGCGUCCAGGCUGGGUUUGGGGUGUUAUAAUAGGAUUGUGAGUACUCACCUAUGUGUACAGUGAUUUUGAGUGUUGAGGUACUAAGACAUGUUGAAGGGAUAAGGGAAUGUGAGCUAAGCUCCAUUCAACGAGACACAUGAGGGGAAAUAAGAAGAGUGUUUGACUCUAUAAGUUUAUCUCUAGUGUGUUGGAGAUACGUGUAUCCGAUAAACGAUGAUAGAGCUCAUUUUUAUGUUUCAUAGCCUAAUUGCCAAAUUAUCUUAACUUAAGAAUAUGUGUCUAUUGUGAUAUGUCUUUAUAUGACAUAUGACCCUUGUAAUUUAUCUAUAAACCUGUUUUUGAGUAUUACAAUAUAAGUUCGAAUGUUAUGCGAUUACAUGAGUAUUGUGAUAUGUGCUUGCAGUUUAUGUAAUUAUCUGUGUAAUAGGAUAUCUGCUUAAAAGUGCAUAUGUUUACCAUGUAAAAGAACUAGUAAUAAUGCACAAGUAAGUCUAAUAUGAUGUUGGGUUAUGUUAUAUAGUUGUUUCAUUGAUGUUUGAUGAGUUGUUUGCAAUGGGGAUAUUUUGAGAUUCACUGAGCUUGCUAAGCUCACCCACUCCUUUUGCAUAUUAGUAGGGAGCUGGUUUGAGUGGUGUGGUUCCAAGGGGUGAUCCAAGCAAGUCCAUUUUCGUGAUUUCAUAGGUUUUAUUAUUUGUUUAUGUUUUGGGAAUAUGGCAAUAUGGUAGACUUAUUUAUAGCCAUGUGAACCUUUAGACAUUUUGCUGGUUUUAAGUUUGGUUUAUAAGGAUUACAUCCUAUUAUUUUGCUUGAGUUCAUGAACAUGACGAUGGGUUGACGUUACUUUCUCUAACACGAUUUUCUAAUAUUAAACUACUAAAUAGGUCAUUGAAUUAUUAUUCGUCGAAGUAAUUGAUGUAAGAUGUUUAGAAACUAAAUUGGAAUGGAAAAUUGCUUAUAUAUUUUCACUUUUUUAGGUCUGGAGUACAGAUAUCGAUAAUCAGAUUUUAAAAUUGAUACCUCUAUGUUUUAAAACUUACAAGAAUUAGAAUAAAGAACUGGUAUCGAUACCUUUGCUCAAGUAUCGAUACUCGGGGUUAAAUAUUGAUAUUUCAUGAUAGGUGCUGAUAAUUUUUGAGACUUUGGCUAUUAAUUGAGAAACAGAAUGCAAGUUUGGUAUCUUUUUUACAAGUUUUGGAAAUUUUAUUAUAUGGACCUUAUGCAUGUUUUAUUAUUAUAAGACUACUUGAUGUAUGGGUAGCAUGUAACAUUGAUAAAUAACAAGUAUAAUUGACUUAAAACCCAUACGAACACUAAAAUGGAAGAUGCUUUGUUUAGAAUGAACUUUUACUGAUUGUAUAUGACAUGAGAUAGUGGUGUGGCAUCCCACAUUUGGGCUUGGUGACUAGGCUGGGUAUAGGGUGUUUUUAACACCCCAAACUUGGUCCAAACGUUAUGGCCGAAUCUUGUGCGUCACAUUGAAGUGUUUUAGUGAAAACCUUGUUUUCAUUGAAAACCCUUCCUUAAAAUGAGAAACCUUAAUUAACUUAUAAAAACUCUCUUUCAAUCGUGAAAGCUUGUUUAAAACAUAUAAUUUAUGAAAGCCUAUCAUUUUAAAAUUUAGUUGCGGAAACGUAAAGAAACAAUCUACGGUUUACGAAACCCAUGUUCACCUUUUCAUAAUUAUAACGCAUAAAGAUAACAAUCCGAAUAAUAAUAAAAGGGAAGGCCUUAUUACAUUCCAGUCUGAAAUUACUUAAUAAGCUAGAAACUAUAUGCUUUCUUUAAAAAAAAACAAGUCCAAGUCAUCUUGCUAGCUGGCCACCUCCGAGUCCCACCAAACAUCGAACCUCCUACUGAGCAUCACCUAAGAAAAAUAAAAGAGGGGGUGAGUUUUUGAAAACUUAGUGUGUACAACCCUCGACGAGUAAUAAGCAUUCAUCAAUCCAUAAAAUCAUACAUGCAAUGCAAUGUAGUGCAACUUACCCUAAUAAUCCAACCAUUACACAUCAACUCCGUCGCCCGAUACACAUCAUGUGGGAUAUAAAUAUCGACCUCCCAUCCGAUACACAUCAAUGGUACCCAUCCAACCUACUAUCACAUAAUUAACACUUGAUUAGGAAUGUUAAGCACAAUUUUUAUCAAAACUGAAAAACAAAAAAAAAAGAAAGUUCGGGAUUUCAGGAUUUUUGGGGCGUUACAACUUUACCCCCUAAAAGCAAUUCCAUCCUCGAAAUUCCCAACUAUUAGUACAGCUGCAUAGCAUAGACUUCCACACCAUGCUCCUGCUGCGCACUCUAAUUCCAAACUAAAUAAAUAGCAUAUUAUGGUUCACGAACAUACCAAUAUUUGCCUCUGGAGCAUCUCCGUCCCCUCGACGACUUGCUCUAUAGACCAACGCUGGCUGUCUCGCCUCAGCAUGACCAGCACCUCUGCCCGAUGCUCCACGGCCCAAAGCGUUUCCACCCCUAGCCUGACCAUGGCCUCUAGGCGACUGCUAACCACCCCUCAAUGGCUGUACAUCACCUCUACCCAUGCCUGGCACCUGAACUGGCAUCCUAAGGCAAUUCCUGAUCCUAUGCUCCAUAGAUCCACAAGCCAGACAAGCUCCCGUCCUCUUCCAACACUCGCCUACAUGACCUUCCCCGCAAUCAGCACAAGGUGGCACCCUUGGAUUCAUAGCAGGGGGCCCUGCUCUAACCAGCCCAUUAUCUCUGGCCCUAGCCCUAGGCUUCUAAUCCAACACUAGGAGUCUCAGCCUCCAUUUUAUUCCUACCCUUUUAUUUUUCUCGAUUUAAGCGCCCAGUGUGCUUCACCUCCUCUGCUAUCUUUGCUUUCUCUACCAACUCUGAGAAGACUCGCUCCCUUUGUGGAGCUAUCAAUACUCUAAGGCUAUCCCUAAGUCCAUCCUCAAAUCUAACGCAACACUCAUACUCCAUUACCACCAUAACUCUUGCAUACCUAUUAAGGCAUAAAAAUUCUGCCUCAUAUUCCGCCAUAAAUUUGUUUCCCUGGGUCAAGCUCAGGAACUCCUUCCUUCUAGUAUCCACAUAACUCGCACCUACAUACUUCCCUUAGAACGCAGUUUUGAAGAACUCCCAAGUGGCCUGCUGAUGUUGGGUGCCCUCUUUCACUGUCAGCCACCACUGGUAAACUUAUUCCCUAAGCAGUGACACUACCCCUUUCAGCUUUUGUUCAACCUUUCGGUGGCCUCCAACUAGUAUUCUGCCACAUUAGGAGCCACACCAGCCACGCCUUUAAAGAUCUCAGCCCCAUAUGAUCGAAGUUGCUCCGGAAUGGACCCAAUUUUCCAUACCAUUAUUGGGCCCUGCAACCUUUUCCAAAAUCCUCAGCAUUACCUGCGAUAAUGCAUCUUCCCCUGCGGCCCGAUCAUACGGCCCAGUCCUAGCUACGGUGGCCAGAGCCUCUUCUACUCCAACAUCAGGCAUAUGGCCUGAUGCCGACAAUUCAGCCCUAACACUUCCGCGACCUCAGCCACGACCUCUUGCACCUCUUCUAGCACUCAUCGUUGUCUCACGUAUUAUCUGGAUUAGAAAUUUUUAUGAAUUUUUAGUUAGUUUUAAUAAUUAAACCGAUGUUUUAUGAAAGUAUUAAAAGAAGGUUGUUUUUGUAAAUCUUCUAUAGUUCCAAGGUCCUACGAGCUUUAGUUUCAAAAAGAAAAAAACCUUAGCAUAAUCAUCUAAAGUAGACAACUAACCACCUACAGUAUAUCAAAUUACACAAGCUUAAGAAUAAAUUAACUUACUUGGUUCGAUGUCAGAGACUCGAUGUGCCGCAUAGCAAGUAAUGUUUUUCUCCCAAAACCUUGUGAUCCGAUUUUUUUUAAAACAAAACCAAAAUGAUAAGGCCCACUUCACAGCCUGAGUUUUGCAACUUGGGCUCUGAUACCACUAAAUAUAACAUCCCAAACCUGACCCAGAUGUUAUGGCCGAAUCUGGCGCAUCAUAUUGAAGUGUUUUAAUGAAAAUCUUGUUUUCAUUGAAAACCUUUCCUUAAAAUGAGAAACCUUAAUUAACUUAUAAAAACCCUCUUUCAAUCAUGAAAGCUUGUUUAAAACAUAUGAUUUAUGAAAGACUGUCAUUUUAAAAUUUAGUUGCGAAAACUUAGAAAAAUAAUCUACGAUUUGGGAAACCUAUGUUCACUUUCUCAUAAUUAGAACGCAUAAAGAUAACAAUCCAAAUAAUAAUAAAAGGGAACGCCUUAUUACAUUAUAGUCUGAAAUUACUUAAUAAGUUUAAAACUAUAUGCUUUCUUUAAAAAAAAAAAAACAAGUCCAAGUCGUCUUGCUAGCUGGCCACCUCCGAGUCCCUCCAAACAUCGAACGUUCUACUGAGCAUCACCUGAGAAAAAUAAAAGAGGGGGUGAGUUUUCAAAAACUCAGUGUGUACAACCCUGGAUGAGUGAUAAGCAUUCAUCAAUCCAUAAAAUCAUACAUGCAAUGCAAUGCAGUGCAACCCACCCCAAUAAUCCAACCGUUACACAUCAACUCCAUCCCCCUAUACACAUUAUGUGGGGAUAUAAAUAUCGACCCACCCAUCUGAUACACAUCAAUGGUUGCCUGAUUGCGGAACUACUUUCAUUGCAGCAAGCUGCCAAUCACAUAUUCGGCUUAAAAGCUGUCGGUGGACCCACGGUUGUCAAGCAACCAUGCGAUCCUCAUAUACUUUCUCCAUUCCAUAAUUUCCAACCCAUAUGCAACCUAUACAGAAUAUUGUAUGUUUGCAGGAGAUAUACAUGUAACAUCCAUAAAUUUUACAUUCAACACAUAUGGGUAUUUUGGUCAUUUUCGCCCUUAGAGGCAUUUUGGUAAUUUCUCUUUAUUAGGUUUAUUACUUACCUUGGCUCGUUAACAAGUCCUAGUUGGCUAAAGUGAAUAGAUACUAUGCACCAGAUAGGAUUCCAGAGAAGAGGAGGUGAGUCAUUAAGACCGCUUAAGUACCAAGCUCUCCUUAAAUCAAAUCCGAGACAUGCAUAUACCCAUUACCACACCUUAACCUUAUGACUCGUCCACGGUCGCAAUUAAUUAAUUAAGUUUUAUGUCAAUUAAACAGUUAUCAUAUACUAGGCCUAGAACCCCUUUCAGGGCCCAAGCAAGUCUGCAUACAUGCAUAUGGCCCAUUAGGCCCAAUCUCAUUCAUAUGGCCCAUUAGGCCCAAAUCACAUUCGUAUACAUGCUUUCAUAUAAUUUCCAUCAUUUAACAUCAAGUUGCCAAUUUUGCCUAUUAUGGGCCCAACAGCCCAUCAGGCCCACUUAGCCCAUCCUGGGCCGGUUGGCCAAAACACGACCCAAGUUCAUGGAAUCGCCCAUGGGGCCUAAGAUAACCUAUCGGUUUCCCCCUAAUGAGUGUUUACACACACGCAAGACUACCGUAGCCAAACUUUCGGCUUUUCGACAUUUUGGCAUUUUGACUUUUCGGCAUUUCGGGAUUUGCCGAUCUACUUGUGUGUGUGCAGUGUAUGUACACACCUGGUAAUAAAGCGUGUCGUAAUCCCCCAUACCACGAACCUACAAUCGAUAUCACUCAAUGAUUACUCACAUAUACUUAUCGAAUACUUACCGAAAGCCGAAGUCUCACCUUAACCUCACCCGAAACGCCAAGCCUUAUUAGCUUUUCUUUGAUCACUAAUCAUGAGUGCUACCCAGACCUGCAUUAACCUUUAUCGUUAAAAACAUAAUGGGUGACUUGUAUCCAGCAUAUGCCACCCUUUUCUACUAAAGCCUAUCCGACCAACCUUUACUGAAGUGAAGAACACUUACCAAUAUCUCACACCUAAGGAGCGAAUCGGUAGGGAUCCAAAAGACUGGGAUUCGAUACUAACCCUACCAAAACCAAUUAGAAGAAGUGAGGGAUAGAGUGAUCUAUACUAGCAAAACCAAAUUGAGAGAGAAAAACACUUACACUAGAAUCGGUCGAAGUAGAAAGAGUAGUGGUGGCACAGAGGAUAUUUGGCUCUUGAGACUUGAAUGGUGAAAAAGGUUAUUCAACACAAAGAAAAGUAGAAAUCAUUUAAAACUAGAGGUGAAUCAAAAAGAAAACUUUGAGCAGGGAAGAAUGGAGAACUGACACAAAGAAAAUGAAGGAAGAAUAAUGGAUUUUCGGCUUUUAGAUCUUUGGAGAAAAAUGUGUUUUCUAGCAACAAGGUGAGGGAGAAUUCGGCAUUAGCUUAGCAACCUCACAUUUGGCAUCUAUAUAUAGCCUCUAGCUGAAAUUCCUAUCCCUAAUCCCCAAUUCGGCUCACCUCUUUACACUCCUCAUCCCCUAAUUUUUCUCCCUGAUAACUCCCUAAUCCCCUCCUCAAAUUUCUCCUCUUAUUACUCUCUACAGCGUUCAUAUCCAACGCCACCACUGUCCAUCCCUUAAGCAAAAAUAAAUCCUUCUUUUCAGCAAGGAGGGAUUCGAACCCUGGACCUCCUUGUCAUGCAUGUGACAGCACUUGCCACUCCACCACAAGGCUUUCUUGUGUCCAACUCUUCCUUCAUUUAUUUAAAAGCCAACCUACUUGCCAACAAGGUUCUUUUAAUAAUUAAACCAUAAUUUCCUUCACCCCUAAGUUCGAACUCAAACCUUACCCAAGGCCUACUAUCACAUAAUUAGCACUUGACUAGGAAUGUUAAGCACAAUUUUUAUAAAAACUGAAAAAAAAGUUCGGGAAUUUGGGAUUUUUGGGGCGUUACAGUGUUACACUUCAAGAGUGAUUCUUAUUUAAAUUGUGACAUGAUUGAGUACUCAGUAAUUUAGUGUUUUGCUCCAUUGUGUUUAUCGUGUCAAAGAAUUUUGUGACCUACUAAAUCCUUCAAAUUAGUUCAAAAAAAAAACAAACAAAUAAACAAGAAAAAAAUGAAUAAUAUAUAUACAUUUUAAGUAGCCUUAGAGCAACUUGAGUUUAGGUAACAAAUGAACUAAGUGAAUUAGGAGAUGUUUGCUUUGGACAAAAAGUACACAUGAGCACUUCGAAAAUUUUGUUUUUAGAUGAAAUUUUCUACACUACCUUUGUUGAGCAAACCUUUUACACUUGAACAAGUUUUGGAGAAGAAGAUUACUAAAAACUUAUGUAUAUAUUGUUCUUUGAGUAGAAUUGCAUAUCAAGGUGGUUAUGUGCGAUGGAAAGGUCUUGCAUAUAUGCAUUCAUGCAUAUCUUGCUUGAGGACAAGCAAUAACUCAAGUUUUGGGGUGUAUUUUAUGCCUCUAGACUUGGUUAAUUUCCUGUACUUAGGUAAGUUUAGUUGCAUUUUAGGAUUUUCCGUUAGUGUUUUUAGGAAAUUGUAUUAAAAGGCUUCGAUUAUGCUUAAAUGUUAUAACAUGUUACUUCUAAUUGUUGCCGGGAAGGAUUUAUUUCUUAAGUGGCAGGUGUAGAAUAAGUAAAAAAAGUAAAGCAGUGAGAGGUUUGUCGUGGUGAAAGGUUGGACAGUUUGCUAACACGAAUGUAGUGGCAAUUUCAAGAGGAGGCCCAGUCAACACUUAACUAUUAUUAGCCUUGUUUUACGUGUAUAAGAAAAAUCAGCCCAAAAAAAUAGAAAAUAUCAUGGGAUGAUGCGUCACCCUAAAGCAGGAGAUAUAAAAUCCAAAAAUAAAAACUGAAAAGAGGAGUAGAUGGUUGAAGAGUCAUUUUUGGAAGGGGAAACCCCUUAAACAAGAAUAGAAGGUAGCGGUUAUGAAAAGGACAGAAACACAAGGGGUAAGACGAAGGCAAUCCUUUCUAGUCACCAGAAGACAUUUCGUAGCUAGAGUUGUGGGUUGGACAGGCGAAAGCUAUCUUCUUGAGUUCUACCUUUAAUUCUUUAUUUUAUGCUUCGUAAUAUAAUUUAAGAAAAUGAUGUUGAUUACUAAUUUGAAUCUGGAUUCUAUUCACCAACCCAUUAGCUAAAUCUCAUAGGGUUGGGAUUACUUAAUGAAACUUUUAUUUCCAUUAUUGGCCAUGGUUUAGAUUAGUUUUAAUUUAUUGUUUCAUUCAAUGGUAAUUAUGAAUAGUGUACGUUUAAUCUCUAGACAUAAGUGAAUAUGGAGCACAAUUGUAAAAUUAAUCUAAUUCUGACAAGGUUAGGUUAGUUAGAUCAAAAUUGAAUGAUAUGAGUAAGUGCUCAACAGAAUACUCGUAGUAGACUCUAAACAUAGAGUAGCGCUCUGUACGAAAAAGAGAAGAACAUCAGUAGGAACCAAACUCAAAGCCUAUAGACAUAUCAUGCCCUAAGUGAGGUAACUCAAGGCCUAGCUCUCGAAAGAAGCAGACCACAGUAGAACUAUUCCAAGCAGUAGAAUAAGACUGAACUUGUUUAGGCAUUAUUGGUUAAUGAGGGUAGAGUCUUGGUAAUCUCAGCCAUACGAUUCAACAUUGUUGAUCCUUUAACCUUUGCUAUAGCAUCUUUAUUUUCACAUCCUUAGUUUUUACUUGUUUACAUAUUAUUCACGUAACCAUUCACAUAAUUGCCAUUAGAUAUUUACUCUUGUUUUGCCAUAGCUUUUUUAUUUAUUUGUUAGAAUUUCACAAAUUACACACAUCAAUGUUCCUUAAUUAUCUCUGCAUUCUUAUUCUUGGUUUUAUCAUAGCAUUAAACACACUCCUUUAUAAUAACUUGACUAAUUUAUACAUAACUGAUCCCUGCGGAGAUGAUCUUACUUAUCACUUUAUUACUUGAUCCGACGUGUAUACUUGCACAAUUCGCAUAACACAUUCACAUGUGACAAUAGUACCAUUUGAAAACCAUAAAUACUUCACUCAAAUUUCAUUAGAAUCAUAGGUUCUUGAUCAUGGGUUUAGGUACAAAAUACAUUCUUCAAAAUGGAAAUUUCUUGACACCACCCCAUGUCAUUCAUAAAACAAAAUAUAAGAAGUGUUGAUUCAAAAAAUAAUUAUUAAAUCAAUUACCCAAAAUAAUUAUUAGUCUCAUUAAGUCAUGAAUUAGUAGUGUUGAUUCAAAAUAAAAGAAAGAUAAUAGUUAAAUUAAACUAAAAACUACAACUAGGUUAAGUUAUUGGAUAUUCAUAGCCAUAUCACUCGUUCAUUCAUUUUCGUUUGUCAUGGUUUGCCAUAAAACUUGCGCUACCAGAGGCUACACGACCAUUUUCGUGUGUCGUGAUCUAUUAGUUCAAUGCUCAUUUCAUCAAAGGCAACUCCAUGAAUUCAUUUUCAUGUUUCAGAGCACAUUGUUCAUUCCAAAAACAAGGGGUAGUGACUUAAUCAUGAAGAAAUGUUCUUACAUCUUUCACACAGACAGACUAAACAAGACUAAUAACAACUAGCAUUCAUCACUCUUGCACAAAUAUUUCAUCUCCACCGAAUAUAUAUACUUACCUUAAAUCAAACAUAAAUAAAGGCAUUAUACACACAUGGAAUAAGAAGGAACUCACCAGAAAACAUACCAAGAUUAAGCUGCAGGACCUUUACCCUGAUAACGAGAACCUUCAGGGGUGCCUUAAGCUAUAAUAUAAAUAGUUGAACUUAACAUAUCACUGUACCAAAAAACUAAGCAAACUUACAAGAAACAUCAUCACAAAACCCAGAUUCAGGAAGUUUCCUUCCUUAUACUCAAAAUUGACGCUAAAGCAUGCAGUUCAAAGGUCACUUAAAUAACUAUGAAAUAACCUAAGGUUCAUAGAUAUUUACCAGGUACUAAAAUAGUGAAGGAGUUGGCUGAAUAUAACGAAACCAAAUCUUCAAGCAGGCUUCUGGUCUAACAUUUUUCUAAGAGAAAAGUCUCGAGAAUGUUUGAGAAGAAAAUAUGGGUUCAAGAGAAAAUGUAAAACUUGCUCAAGAAGUCAAUACUAGCUUUUAACAACUAUACACGAAAGCUGGGUUUAGUGGAUAAGUCUGAUUAUCCCACUAAACCCCUCGAUUCCUGUGACUAAGUAGUUUCUCUAUCAUCAUAAAUGUGAGUCUUCUCGAUGGCAGUAACUUAGUUCUAUCCUAACCAAUUCUUAUUUGCAUAACUAAAUUGUUCAACCGGAGUAAUAAUAUAAUAAUAAAAUAAUAAAUAGUUCUUCAACUAAAGACUUAACUUAAUUGUCUAACAACUGGGGUGGCGUAUACUCUACAAGGGAGUCCGCCAAACCAUCAAGCUCACCCAACAGAGACUUCGCCUAAAGGUACACUCACGGACUUAAAUACUUAAUCAAAAUUAAUACCUUACCCACUUAGAUCUCGCUCUGAAAAUCAUACUUUGAUUAAAAGUGUUUGACCACUAGCACUUCAUCGAGCAGUAUGUUACAGCGCUCAAAUCUGGUGCCCCGUACAAGAUGGCGCCAUCAGAGCUGAAGGAGCUAAAGAAAUAGCUACAUGAUUGUCACACUAAGUCACUUGGAUUAUAUAUUAGUCUUAAUGCUAAUGGGAGAUUGUUAGAGUAUGCCCAAAGACCAAUCAUGAGAUUAUUGUAAUCACAUACUAGUUUUACCUUAUUUGUUAAUAUAAGGCAUGAGCGUUACUAUUUUAGUCUCUCUUUUUUGUGUGUAUAAAUAAACUGGUUAAUAAUAAAGUCCUGAGAAUCAUAUAAUUAUUCUUAAAAGGUCCUUACUCAAGUAUUAUUGUGGGCUUGGAAAAUGAUAAUACAUUGAGACUAAUGCAUAGUUGACUGAUGAAAAAUUGUUGUCAUUGAUAUAGAGAUGUCAAAAUCGAUACAUAAGUAUGUCUUAGAGAACAACAUACUAGAUUGAUCUGCUAUGAGUAUGUUUCUUGGAUUAUUACGUAAUAGUCACAAUGUAACAUUCCGAAUUAAGGUCUAGUCAAAAUAGUGGUUUUGAGACCACAAAUCAAACGUAAGAAAAUUCAUUUUUAUUAUAUUUAUAUGGUCUACAAUUUCACUGUAUGAUUUCGUGAGAAUCUCAUUCGAAAAUUUUGAUGUUUGGGCACUCAAUUUAGUAAAAAGGACUAAAUUGUAAAAGUGCAAAAGUUGAGUUCUACAUGUUAGAGGUGUUUGAUUGUUAUGAAAUUUUAAAUUGGAGGUCUUUAAGUGGUAAUUAUACCAUUGGUUAAUUGCUGGACAAAAAUAGACAUGAAAUGGGUGAAAUAGAAUAUUUUUAAGUUAGGGACAUUUUGGUAAUCUAAUAAGUAAAAGAAAUAAACAGGAAAAAUAAACCAAAUUUGUCCAUCUUCUUCUUGUCUAGCUGAAUCAACCAUGGAAGCCAUGGCUAGGGUUUGGCACAAGCUUUCAAGCUCAUUUGUAAGUGAUUUCGAGCCCCGUUUUUAAUGUUCUUUACAUUUUUGAAGUCUUGGUAACCCGAUUUACCUAUUUCUACCAUUAUUUUGAGCUAGGGUUCAUGUUCAAAAAUUUAUCCGUGAGUUAUAUGCAUGUGUCUUGACGUCUAAUGGUGGAAAUGAAUGUUGAGUGAUAAAUAAAUAACUUUUGCUAAGUGAUUUUAGGUGAAAAUGCUUAAAUGGAUCGUUUUGUAAAAGUUAUAAAAUCUAUCAUAAAAGUGUGAUUUAGUGGGAAUUGGGGGCUGCUAUAGUUAUGGAAAUGAUUCAGAUAGGCUUAAAAUGCAAGGAAAUUGAAUAAAAAUCAUUUUACGAGCCUAGGGGCCAAAGUUUAAAUAAGUGAAAGUUUAGGGGUAAAAAUGCAAAUUUGUAAAAGUAUGAUUUUUGGGUCAAUUUGAAUAAUGUGAAUAAUAGAUGAGCUAUAUUUUAAAUGCUAGAUCAAGAAAACCAAGAUUCGGGCUUAAAUUGGGAAAGUUCGAGAUUAUGGACUAAAUUGGAAUAGUUGGCCGUAAUUGCCUUUGAGGUAAGUUCAUGUGACAAUAAUAAUGCAAUGUUAUACUUGAAUUGUAAUGUUAAAUUACAGUUACAUAAGUUGUAUGAAUUGCUACACGGUUGUGCCGACAAGGAUUCGACAAUUAAGUUCGUGUAACUCGAAUGUAUACUUUUUAAUACUUGAAAAUGUAUGCUCUUUGAUGUUAUAUGAAUGAAAUGAUGAAAAGAGGACCAAAAGUCCCGGUUGAAUGAAAAGGAUGUCUGAUGGAUUUCCUUAAAAAGGAAUUGACGGUAAAAAGGAUCUUGCCCAGACGGGUGUUCCUUAUGUGAUCUAGCCUCCCGAAGAAUAUGUGUUUAAAUGGAUUUAGUCUGGACACGUAAUCCAAACUAGGAUCCAAAUCUAUCCUGGACUGGUAAUUCAGAUCCAAGCUCAUUAGAGUAAUUGUCGUUGCAGGGGAUUUAGCUUGGACUGGUAAUCCCGCUGUAAGAAUUGAGGUUCGUGGGAGUGCGCUUGUUGAAAAGGUCACUAAUAUGAAUUGAAGAUAAAUGAGUUGUUGCACUGUAAGUGUACUAUGGAAUACCCAUCGAGAAUCCGAGGACAAUUCAACGGGACAAAUAUGAGAAAUGGAAUUGGAAUAGUUGUAUUGAUGAGAUCAUCUGAGAUCUUUAUUAUCAUGUAUUGUUAUGUGACUAACUUUCAUGAUUAAGUAUGCCAUGAGAAUUAACGACGUUUAUGUCAAGCUCUAUUGUGUAAUCAUGUAUGAAAUCCAUGAAAUGCUUAGUUCAUGGUUAGUUGAAAAUGAUCUUAUGAUAGUGAUCAUUAUAUUACACUAAAAUAGUGUUGCACAGUAGCAGUAGUAUGAAUUUGAAAAUCCACCAAAAAUUGUGGAAAUCAAAUUAGAGAUUGAAUUAAAUAUUUAAUUAAACCUUAUUGAAACUAGUUUCACAUACAGGAAACAUUUCAAGCAAAAGAGUUUCAUAUUAUGAGAUAUUUGAACUUUUGUGAGACAGAGUCAGGUGAUUUUGGGCUCCCCCGUCUCAAAUUUGGAAAAUCACUAAAAAUUGUACAAAAAUUAUUAUGGGUUGUAAUUUAUAUGACUAAAUUAUUAAUGAAUAUAAUUUUAAGAGUAAUGAUAGGAACAUCAUCUAAAUCCUAUACUAAGAGAUAGUUGAUUUUUAGUAAAGAAAGGUCGAAGCUGUCAAAUAAUAGAACAGGGGAAACUUUAAAGAAUAAAGUGUACUUAUUUGCUAGAUAAAAAGUUUUGAAAAUUUUAUGGUAAGAAGAUAUGUUUGUCUAGUUUCAGGGAAAAUUAGCAGAUUUUGAUUUGGAGUCUCGUAGAUCUAUAUAUAAAUAAUUUAGUAACUAUGACUCGAGAAAAUAGCAUGACCAGAAUAUAAGUAAAAGUGUAAUUAUGGCUAUAUUACCUUGAGGAGCUAUUGCUUAUUAUUUUCAUAUGGACUUACUAAGCUUUAAGCUUACUCCCUCCUCUCAAUUUCUUUAGUGUUGUCAGGUCGACUCGGGGUUAGAGAUCGUCGGAGGCAGCAUCACACUGUCAAGGCAUCACCUAUGGAGUAUUGACAUAUGUGUACUAAACACCUUCAAGUGAGUGGCAUGUAUAGGGACUUAGUUUUUAUGAUAGAUGUUGUUAUGAUUAGCCAAAUGUAUUGGUUUAUGUUGAUUCAUUGUAUAUAGCCAUGGGAUGUGGCUUAUAAUGUUUUGGCUUAUAAGCCUAAUAAUCCUUACUAUUUGUUAAUGUUUUACGAUGUGAUUAUAAUUGUUUACUAUGAAUGAAUAGUAUAACAUAUCAGCAUGAGAAUGCCUUAAUACCAUUCAGAGUGGUCGUGGCUAUGGAAUAAAUGCGUAAAUUGGCAUUAAGUUGAUAAUGAUUGAACAUAGACAUUUGUUGAAUAAGUAGAGAUUAAUUAUUGGGUAAUAUGUUAUGGUUGAUUGUUAAAAACUUGCCUUAGAAAGGCAUGCUAAAUCAUUAAAAUGAUGUUAUGAUAUGUGUCUUUAAAGUUGUAACACCCCGUACCCGAGACCGUUGCCGGAGUCGGACACGAGGGGUUCACAGACUAAAUUCGCUUACUAUCGCAGUCCAUUUUAAAAAUUUCCAGGCAGUUGGCUAACUGCAUCACUGUCACCUUAAAAAUCAUAUCUUGAGUUUCACAACUCGAAAAUCAGUUUCGUAAUUUUUCCCUGAAACUAGACUCAUAUGCCCAUCUACAUAUUUUUUUCUAGAAUUUUUGGUCAGGCCAAUUAGUAUAGUUUAUUCGUUAAAUUCUCCCCUGUUACAGGGUGUGACUACACUGACCUUCAUGCAUUACGAUUUGAAAAUCUCCAUGGACAGAGCUUCAAUACUGAUGCCGUUUGUUUCUAUAGAAACUAGACUCAGAGUGGAAUCUAUAAAUAUAUGGCAUGACUCCUAAUUAUCUCUGGUUAAUUUAUAAUGAAUUUCCAAAGUCGGAAUAGGGAAUCCAGAAACCGUUCUGGCCCUAUCUCACGAGAACCUGAAUAUCUCUUAACAGACUGUUCAUAUGAUCGUUUCGUUACUUUCCUAUGAAAAUAGAUUCAUCAAGGUUCUCUUACAUAAUUUAUUAACUAUUUAAUUCCAUUCCUACUAUUUUUAGUGAUUUUUCACAUCCACAUCACUGCUGCUGCCAGCAUCUGUUUUUUUUUAAGGUAAACUUUACCUAUUUCAUGAUCCUCCAUGGAUCAACUAGAGUUUGUUAUACAUAUUCCAAAAGUGAUCAAGAAUAACCCUUCCCAUGGCUAACCGUUACCAACAUUUCCAUACCUCUCGACGGACAACAUAAAAAACGAUUAUAAUGCUAUGAUCAAAGUAUAUUUAAGCCAUUUUCGCAUGGCUAUCCAAAUUUACACAAAACCGAAGGGUACAUGACCAACAACAAAAGGGUAGUCCUAUACAUGCCAUUU